rnacentral:rRNA from 1 species
GCGUGAGUGAUGACGGCCUUAGGGUUGUAAAGCUCUUUCGCACGCGACGAUAAUGACGGUAGCGUGAGAAGAAGCCCCGGCUAACUUCGUGCCAGCAGCCGCGGUAAUACGAAGGGGGCUAGCGUUGUUCGGAAUCACUGGGCGUAAAGGGUGCGUAGGCGGGAUCUUAAGUCAGGGGUGAAAUCCCGAGGCUCAACCUCGGAACUGCCUUUGAUACUGGGGUCCUUGAGUCCGGAAGAGGUGAGUGGAACUGCGAGUGUAGAGGUGAAAUUCGU